rnacentral:rRNA from 1 species
UACGUAGGCAGCGAGCGUUGUUCGGAGUUACUGGGCGUAAAGCGUGCGUAGGCGGUGUCUUAAGUUUGUUGUGAAAACUCGAGGCUCAACCUCGAGAUGUCGGCGGAAACCACUUGGCUAGAGUCCGGAAGAGGAGAGUGGAAUUCCCGGUGUAGCGGUGAAAUGCGCAGAUAUCGGGAAGAACACCUAUGGCGAAGGCAGCUCUCUGGGACGGUACUGACGCUGAGACGCGAAAGCGUGGGUAGCAAACAGG